rnacentral:rRNA from 1 species
GACAAACGCUGGCGGCGUGCUUAACACAUGCAAGUCGAGCGAGACACCUUCGGGUGUUUAGCGGCGGACGGGUGAGUAACACGUGGGCAACCUGCCAUACAGAGGGGGAUAGCCUUUCGAAAGGAAGAGUAAUACCGCAUAAAGUUCAUUAAUCGCAUGAUUGAUGAAGCAAAGGAGUAAUCCACUGUAUGAUGGGCCCGCGUCGCAUUAGCUAGUUGGUGAGGUAACGGCUCACCAAGGCGACGAUGCGUAGCCGACCUGAGAGGGUGAUCGGCCACAUUGGAACUGAGAGACGGUCCAGACUCCUACGGGAGGCAGCAGUGGGGAAUAUUGCACAAUGGGGGAAACCUUGAUGCAGCAACGCCGCGUGAGUGAAGAAGGCCUUCGGGUUGUAAAGCUCUGUCGUAUGGGACGAUAAUGACGGUACCAUACAAGAAAGCCACGGCUAACUACGUGCCAGCAGCCGCAGUAAAAC